rnacentral:ncRNA from 1 species
AUGAGUGCCUGUUCAUCUAAUUUUUCGCGCAGUUGCGCUGCAGAUCGCGUCUUUGUCGUCGCUGACGGCACGGCAAGGAGGCGAGUCAUCAGGCGUGAUGCGAUCACCCAAGUCGAGCCGCUUGCCCCGUUUGCCGGGGCGGCGGCUUUUUUA